UACGUAGGGCGCGAGCGUUGUCCGGAAUUAUUGGGCGUAAAGAGCUCGUAGGCGGCCUGUUGCGUCCGCUGUGAAAGCCCGGGGCUUAACCCCGGGUCUGCAGUGGAUACGGGCAGGCUAGAGGUAGGUAGGGGAGAAUGGAAUUCCCGGUGUAGCGGUGAAAUGCGUAGAGAUCCGGAGGAACACCAGUGGCGAAGGCGACACGCUGGGCCGUACCUGACACUGAUGCGCGACAGCAUGGGGAGCAAACAGG
rnacentral:rRNA from 1 species